GCUGCCGUAGCUCAGUGGUAGAGCACUCCCUUGGUAAGGGAGAGGUCGAGAGUUCAAUCCUCUCUGGCAGCACCA
rnacentral:tRNA from 129 species